ACCAUCGACAAGCAUGUGGCUUAAACCGUUCUGCUACCUUGUGCAGGUGCUUGCUCAUGGCCUGGCCGGACCAACGUUACCACAAUUGCCGCAGCAUGACCAGUCUUCAAGAAAUGAAAUCGACCGUCCCCAUCUACCAAACUUCGCCACGUGCACUUGGACCACAACUACAACACCGAUGCCACGUCACUGCUUUCAUGACGCCAACCCUUCGCUGUUUUGGGAUGCGUCACUUGAGGCGCCACCUAUUCUUCACGUGACGUCGACGCAUCGCUUUAUAAAGGAACAGCUCCAGGCCUACAAUUUCAGUGGGCACGGUGGACCAUCGACAAGCAUGUGGCUUAAACCGUUCUGCUACCUUGUGCAGCUCUUCCUCGUCAUUGCUAUGGUCGGCACGGCCUUCGCCGGACACAUUCCAACACACGCGGUGCCGGUGGCAUCUCUCGCCACAACGUACCAUCACUCCAUCGUCGCGGCACCGGCUUACGUAGCCGCCGCAGUUCCCGCCGUGUCCACCACCGUCCAACACACUCCAGCCGUGUCCAAAGCCACUCGAGUGACCAGCUACCAGACUACACAGCCGGGAGUGCCACACAAAGUGGCCAAGGUAUCCACUUACACCCCCGCUGCCACGGCCGUUCAUACUGUCCAUGUUUCGGUACCCACUGUGGUGACCGGUGUUGUUCAUCAUGCUCCAGCCUACACGUAUGGCUACUAUCCUGCACGCUACAGCUACGCCCACCGCUACGGCUACCAACCGCUUCGCUACGGCUACGUCCACGGCCUUACCCCAUAUGGUCUCAACUAUGGCUACGGAUUGCACGCAUUCGGCUACGUCUCCCCUGUCAAGAAAUAAACGCCAAAGCCAGCACCUAGCGACAACGUCACCUUCCGUGGAACAGAUGCGAAACUCGAGAAGCGACUGCUACUGAUGUGGUGAAAGUCCCUGUACAGUUUGUCGUUCUGUGUUUCUGUCGUAGGGAUGAGUUCCUCAGAAAAAUAAACAA